CCUACGGGAGGCAGCAGUGAGGAAUAUUGGUCAAUGGGCGGUAGCCUGAACCAGCCAAGUAGCGUGUGGGACGACGGCCCUACGGGUUGUAAACCACUUUUUCGCGGGGAUAACAUCCGGGACUUGUCCCGGCUUGCAGGUACCGCGUGAAUAAGGACCGGCUAAUUCCGUGCCAGCAGCCGCGGUAAU
rnacentral:rRNA from 1 species